rnacentral:lncRNA from 1 species
GGACAGGGGAAGGAGCGAAGAUGGCGGAGUGAGGCGUGCCCCGGGCAGCUGGCCUGCGGGCCCGGGGCAGGCCUCCCGUGAGAAGCGGAGUACUUGUGCUGGACCGUGUGAGGAACCAUAUCACACAAGAUGAAUAUUUUCCUGACCUUAGGUGCUUUUAUAUUCAGCUCAACAUUCUGAACUCAGGACUUGGCACGUAAGUAGAUAGAGAUAAUCAUCCCAAGUCCUGUUGUAGCGGCUUGAAAGGCUCCAUAGAAGCGACAUACUAAACUGUUAAGAGCAACAGAAGAUGAAGAUAAAAAUGAGUACAAGCCAGCUACCAUGGCUCACCUUUAUGCCCAGCUCUUGGGACCUGGGGAACUGAGGUGAGGAUUGAGAGUUUGAAGCUAAUCUGGGCUAUUCUGGGUAGCAAGACAUUUGUGUUAAUAAAUAAAACCCACAAGACCUAGUUAUUGAGAAUUAUUAUCUAUAUGUGCACAUGUGUAUACACACACACACCUGGCUUCUAUUUUGUUUUUUAACCAAAGCAGUUACAGUGUGUCAGAUGAUAAAUCACUCAACCAAUAACUUUCACUGUGUACAGAAAACAUGCAGAUUUAAUUAAAUUGAAUAUAAACUGAUUAAAAAAUAAAUGUUGCUAAGCAUUAACUUUGUGUGCAUGCAUGAGCAUAUGUGUUAGAGUGUGCUCUGGAGGCCGGAAGUCGAUGCCAGUUGCCUUCCUCAUGUGCUCCUCACCUUAUUUUGUGAGAAGGUUGUGUUACUAAAUCUGGAGCUAACCAGUUUUGGCUAGACUGGCAAAUUAGUCAGCCCUGCCAUCUGCUGCUUGCCAGCACAGGGCUUAUGUGCAAUCGUUGUUGAAGCUUUUUAACAUUAGGAACUGGGAUGCAAACUUAUUUGAACACCAAGCACUCUAUGUUUGGUGCAUGCAAGGAGAUGGCCCCCAUAGACUCAGAGAGAGUGACACUAUUGGAGGUGUCGCCUUGUUGGAGGACGUGAGUCAUUGUGGAGGCCAGUUCUGAGGUUUCCUGUGCUCCAUCGAGGCCUAGAUGACAGUCUCCUACUGCUGCCUGUGGAUCCAGAUGUAGAAGUCUCGACUUCUUCUCCAGCACCAUGUCUGCCAUGCUUCUUUUCAUGACAAUAAUGGACAACCUCUGAACUAUGUAAUCCGGCCAACCCCAGUUAAUAUUUUCCUUUAUAAGUGUUGCCAUGGUCAUGGUGUCUCUUCACAGCAUAGAAACGCUAAGACAAGCCAGGCGUGGUGGUCCACGCCUUUAAUCCCAGCACUUGGGAGGCAGAGGCAGGCAGAUUUCUGAGUUCGAGGCCAGCCUGAUCUACAGGGUGAGUUCCAGGACAGCCAGGGCAACACAGAGAAACCCUGUCUCGAAAAAAACCAAAAAAAAAAAAAAAAAAAUCGAAGAAAAAAA